AGGAUGAACGCUGGCGGCGUGCCUAACACAUGCAAGUCGAACGAGAAGUUAACCACUGAUUCCUUCGGGAUGAGGAGGUUAGCAGAAAGUGGCGAACGGGUGAGUAACGCGUGGGUAAUCUACCCUGUAAGUGGGGGAUAACCCUCCGAAAGGAGGGCUAAUACCGCAUAAUAUCUUCACUUCUAAAGAAGAGAAGAUUAAAGAUGGCCUCUGUCUUAAGCUAUCACUUCAGGAUGAGCCUGCGUCCUAUUAGUUAGUUGGUGGGGUAAUGGCCUACCAAGACCACAAUGGGUAGCCGGUCUGAGAGGAUGUACGGCCACACUGGGACUGAGAUACGGCCCAGACUCSUACGGGAGGCAGCAGUGGGGAAUAUUGCGCAAUGGGGGAAACCCUGACGCAGCGACGCCGCGUGGAUGAUGAAGGCCUUUUGGGUUGUAAAAUCCUGUUUUGGGGGAAAGAAACCUUAAGGGUCCAAUAAACCCUUKAAUUGACGGUACCCCAAGAGAAAGCUCCGGCUAAUUAUGUGCCAGCAGCCGCGGUAAUACAUAAGGAGCAAGCGUUAUCCGGAAUUAUUGGGCGUAAAGAGCUCGUAGGCGGUCUUAAAAGUCAGGUGUGAAAUCAUCAGGCUCAACCUGAUAAGGUCAUCUGAAACUUUAAGACUUGAGGAUAGAAGAGGGAAGUGGAAUUCCCGGUGUAGCGGUGAAAUGCGUAGAUAUCGGGAGGAAUACCAGUGGCGAAGGCGGCUUUCUGGUCUAUUUCUGACGCUGAGGAGCGGAAGCUAGGGGAGCAAACGGGAUUAGAUACCCCGGUAGUCCUAGCUGUAAACGAUGGAUACUAGGUGUGGGAGGUAUCGACCC
rnacentral:rRNA from 1 species